AUACGGAGGGUGCAAGCGUUAAUCGGAACUACUGGGCGUAAAGCGCGCGUAGGCGGAUUGUUAAGUCUCAUGUGAAAGCCCUGGGCUCAACCUGGGAACUGCAUGGGAUACUGGCAAUCUAGAAUACAGUAGAGGGUAGUAGAAUUUCAGGUGUAGCGGUGAAAUGCGUAGAGAUCUGAAGGAACAUCAGUGGCGAAGGCGACUACCUGGACUGAUAUUGACGCUGAGGUGCGAAAGCGUGGGGAGCAAACGGGAUUAGAAACCCUAGUAGUCC
rnacentral:rRNA from 1 species